GUGCUCCCUUCGGCAGCACAUAUACUAAAAUUGGAAUGACACAGAAAAGAUUAGCAGGGCCCCUGCCCAAGCAUGACACAUACAAUCAUGAAGCAUUCCACAUUUUU
ensembl:snRNA U6 U6 spliceosomal RNA